ACUUCAAGUCCACUGCGAGUAGGAAUGGACUCGGGGAGGCCCCAAACACCACUCUGGUCAUCCGCAGAACACGCAGCUCUCCAUCCUCUUCUCCGCUUGGUGGGCCUGUGAGCCACAGAAGACACUGAGGAGAUCUGGAUUCAGGUUUGGUCCUGUGAGCAGACAGUCAUUGAGGGAUGGACUGCCAUCUUCAUGAGACGACGCAUCAAACACCACUCUCAGCUUUGUGGUCACUUUGUCUUCUCUGAGUACUGCGUGGUGAGGUAAGUAGUAUUUCACGUUGUCUGUACUUGCGUUGUCUUUUGGCACAUCCUCUGCAAUGUUCUGCUGUAAAUAGUCCUCCACUACUUCAUUGUAUCUGCUGUAGAAUGUAACAUCCUUCUUCAGUCUUUUCUUCAGACCUUCAAAUCGUUUUUUAGCAACUCUGUAGUUGUCUUGGAGCGCUGCUUUGUCUGGUUUCCAUGGCAACUCCACGUGAUAUCGUCCAUCUUUGAAAGUUGUUGUUCUCUCAAACAUCUGCAGAGCCUUUUCUUCUGCUGGGUUCUGUGUGUUUUCACUUGUGAUGCCCAGAGACUCAAUUUCCCAGAAUGCACUUAGUUGCUUGGAAACAAGUGUGUCCUCUUCAAGUGGAAUGAACAUGCAGGUUGCCUCAGCGACACUUGACAUGCACACUGGUCCCUGCACAGACCAUCCAAAUGUGCUCUCUAGUGCAACUAAUGUCUCUGUCAGUCGCUCCACUCUUCCUGAGACAAUUUGCCAAUAGUAGUCUGCUCCUAUCAGGACAGAUAGCUCAGAAUCAUCAUCAUUAUCUGGGAAGUCUGCUAGUUGUAGUCCCUUUUUCUUGAGCUCAUGUUGAAUCUGGUCACCGGGAACUUUCAUCACAGCUGAGCACACCUGAGGUGUUUCUAAGGCCUCGAUUUCAAUUAUUUGCUGGUUGUCCCAGACAUUCUCCAAUAUGACUUUCACUGUGUUGCGUUGUGACAUUGUGGGGACAGAGGAGCCAAAUGUGUGAAGAGUGAGUGUCUCUUGUCUUAUUACUGGUAAGUUCAGGCUCUUCACAAGGUUUUCAUGGAUGAAGCUUCUCUGACUCCCUCCAUCGAGUAAACAGCG